UACAGAGGGUGCGAGCGUUAAUCGGAAUUACUGGGCGUAAAGCGCGCGUAGGCGGCUUUGCAAGUCGGGUGUGAAAUCCCCAGGCUUAACCUGGGAACUGCAUUCGAGACUGCAUUGCUAGAGUAUGGGAGAGGGAAGUGGAAUUUCCGGUGUAGCGGUGAAAUGCGCAGAUAUCAGGAGGAACACCGGUGGCGAAGGCGGUAGUCUGGGCCGGUACUGACGCUGAGGAGCGAAAGCGUGGGGAGCGAUCCGG
rnacentral:rRNA from 1 species